rnacentral:rRNA from 1 species
UACAGAGGGGGCAAGCGUUGUUCGGAUUUACUGGGCGUAAAGGGCGCGUAGGCGGCCUCUGCAAGUCGACUGUGAAAUCUCCGGGCUUAACCCGGAAAGGUCAGCCGAUACUGCAGGGCUAGAGUGCAGAAGGGGCAACUGGAAUUCUCGGUGUAGCGGUGAAAUGCGUAGAUAUCGAGAGGAACACCUGCGGCGAAGGCGGGUUGCUGGGCUGACACUGACGCUGACAGCGCGAAAGCUAGGGGAGCGAACGGG